rnacentral:misc_RNA from 1 species
CCUUCGGACCAAAAUUGUUGUAUWGCUUGKAUGUGUGCAAGAGGCACAACKKGAUCCUUAAUAGGCCAUGGCGGGKUUCUUUUCAAGGGUUCCAACCAUACAACAAUUAGGGGGUUGGGAUUAUUCUAGCGKGUUUCGUUCUCUUCGUAUCGUGC